UCUCUGUGAGUGAAUUUGGGCCUCAGCAAAGCAAGCACAGGUUUCAAAAUGCUUUUUCUACCCCACCAGAGAAAUGAAUGAGUCAUCUCGACCCAAUGAUAGCCACGAAGGUGCUCCCAUGUUGAUUGCAACAAAAAGGGACAACUGUGGAGUCUCAGAAAGCACAGAUAUUUUAAAAGAUCAACUUUUGCCUGUGUUUGGAUACUUCUGAGAUAUUUUCAUGAAGAAGUUAAGAGCAGCACUUGCCUGAAAGUACAAGGAAUGAGCUGCAGGACAGCACAGACACAGCAAGUUCCAUUUUCAUAUGGAUUUAUUACCUUGUUAUCAGACAGGUCUGGAGCCAAAGAUAUGGCUUAGAGCUUAUAAAAGCAAAUUGCUU